CGACGGCAGCUUCUCUUCUUUCUUCUUUCUCUGUCUUUCAAAACAUAGCAGCAUCAAUCGAUGUCAAGAGCUUUUCUUUGCUUUUGUCCUCUGGACAAAACUCCAUUCUUUUUAUGAGACCCAGAGGUCUCCCCUCAAUUUCUGGCAUUUGAUUGUACUUGGAAGAGAUUGUAAUCUCAAUUGGAGGGUCCGGAUUUUUCCUUCUGCAGAGUGGCUGCUUAGGAUUUGAUGGACGAUGGGCUCGAGACAGAAAAGGGCUGGUAAUCUUCUUCCCCUUCCACUCCCGGUUUCUCCCAGUUUUCCCUCUUGUUCUUCUUCAUCUUCCUCCCUCCCUCGAGUAGUUAGGGCUAAUUUUUUCUGUUUUCCUAUCAUUUUCCUGAUAUUUCUAUUUCAUUGGCUAAAAGCAGCAAAUCUUUUUUUUUUCUCUCAUCUCUGUCGUGUCCUUUUGUGAAACAGUAAGGACAGGGAAGGUCAAUAUUUCAUCUCCACUAUCUGAUGUGAAUUUCUAGAAUGCAGAUAUAUGGUACUUUUCUUCCCCUUUCUUUCCAUGAUUAAUGUCUCUGUUUCAUUUCUGUUUUAUCAUUGAUUUUUAAUUUUUAAUCAGAAGAAAAACUUUUAAUAUGGUCUGAGAUGAUGAAUAAUUGAUGAUUAGCUAGCUUUUAGAUAUUUAUUUACUUUCUUUUUUGUAUCUAUUUGGUGAUUUAUUGUUCCAUUUUUCGUUUUUGUCUUGGAUUUCUUCUGGAGUUCGGAGGAAAAAUGGCCACUUGUGAAAAACAACUGGUGAGUGAAAAUGUAAGUUUGCUGCAUCAAUCUGAUUUAAUUUUUCCCUCUUCCACGCCUGGUUUAGGAUUUGAUGGAUGAUUUUUUUUCCAUUUUUUUUGUUCUUUUGGUGCUACUUUUCCAAGUAUAUUAUUGGUUGUUGUUACAGGAAGGAAUAUGAAAACUUGAAGUUGACAUCUCUAAGAAGUAGUUAAAGCUGGUAAUAUUUAUUUGUGUUCUACUAUUUAUACUAUAAACCAUAGUCUUUUUCUGUAAAUGGUUUCUCUCACCUAAUUUAGCCUAUUUUUGUUUAUUGAGGUUGUUGUCAGAGAAAGGAUAAAGGUAAAAGUGAUUGGAAGAAUGAGCAAAUUUCUUCCGGUGUUUUGUGUUUUGGGUUUUAUUGUGUUUGUCAAAGUAAAUUAGAUACAGUAUCUUUUUCUUCUGUAUCUUCUUUUUUUCCCUUGGCUGGCAAACAUAAUGAAUCUGUUAUAUAAACUACUUGGUAUUCUUCGUAAUGUCAAGAUUUGGGAAGCUGUAUGAUGAAAUCUUUAUUUCAUAGUCGAUUUUUCUGGUUUUGUGGUUUUAACGUGCAAAGUGAAAUCAUUAUUAUGACUAACUUCCUUGAGGAUGUUUUGAUCAGUUCAUGAUUCAUGAGAUACAUAGUUAUAUGGAUUACAUAAAUGGAGUUUCAAAAGCAAAAUCCAUUUAAUCUACUAUGAAGAUACCAUCUUUCCUCUUUUAAAUUACUAAAAAAACUUGGCUCGAUCUUUGACUGGAAAAAUUAUGUUCAGAAAAUAGUAUUCCUGUGCGUCACACAAUUGACAUUUGAUGUUGGACCCAAUAUUGCAUUUAAAAAAAAAAAAGAAAAAUUGGAAAAUAAUGCAUAGGAACUUCUCUAGAAUUUGCUUCCAUAUAUAUGUACAAUGUUUUGUUCCCUUUGGGGAAAUUUCAUCAGUGACAUUAUUUUUAUUGAUUGAUUUCUGUUGGUAAGACCAGCUUUUAUACUCUCUCAAUAGAUUUCUUCUCUUGUUUCUGUUAUCGCCAUUUUUUUUUGUGGAUUCUUCUUUCUUCUAAGCAACUUUAAAGGUUCUUUUCUUUAUAUGAAUAUGUUAUUAUUGGGGUACAUCUAAUCCUAAUCCUACUUCUGUAGCAGGAAAUGACCAUACAUUGGGUUUUGUUACUGGUGGGUCUGCUCAUGUUCAAAUGCAACUUAGCACCAAAGAGUGUGAGAGUCUGGGAUUAACUGGUCUGGCUCUCUGCUUAGACUGCAACACCUUUGCUGAGUAUGUCAAGGACCAAGGUUGUACCUUUAUUAUAUGAAUUUUGUUGAUCCUCAGAUAUUUAUGGUUUUUGGUGGAUUUUACUUCUGGGUUUUGAUGGGUUUUUUGAAUUGAUUACUUGCUGGUAAGUACAUGGGUUGUAAAAUGGUAAUAUUUGGGAUUCUUGUUUCUGUACUAUAGCUGAUUGGUUGUCAAAAUUAACGAAUAGUGGGAGAUAGAUGCAAUUCUUAUUGCUUUUAGUUGAUUUAAGGUCUGGGUUUUUUUUUGUUUGGAUUUAUGAAUUGCUUAUUUAUAUGUGAGAUGUCAAUGGUGAUAAUUUGGAAGGAGAACUUGAAAAAGGCUAUGUUUUUAUACAAAUCAGAUCGAGAGACUAUGCUUAUAACAGUAAAUAAGUGUAUUUUGACUUUUGUUGUUUUCACUAUAAUUUUUUGUGAUUAAGUUUUGUCAAAAUAUGGAUGGGUAAAUAGUAUUUUGGAAGAUUUCUCUUUUUUCUUUUUGUACCUCAGAUAGCUUAAGGAUAAUUGCAGAAAUCGAAAUAAGAUCCUCAUUGGGAUUCUUAAAUUAUCUCAUGCAAUUAGUGGCGUUAAAUUGUAAUCUGUAGAAUUCCAAGUAACUAGCCUGGAUUAUGGUGAUGGUUCAGUUUUGUUGCUCUUGAGGAUGUUUUGCACCUGAGCUGACGAUGAUCAAGGCAUGCAAGAACAAUAGUUCUACGAUCAUGAUUUCCUAAGUUACGACUUGUAGUUCAUUAUAUUUGAUGAUUAGGACCAUACGCAUUAAAUUGGAAUAUUCUAUUGGCAUCCUUUAUUGUACCAAAUGAAGUACUAUCAAGACAAAUUCUGAAUGGAAAUAUGCCAUUUUUUGAAACCUAUACCAGAGAACCCUUAUUCUUCAACCCUUUUACAUCCAUUCUGGUGAAUUUGAAAAAUUUAAAUAGCUGAAACUUGUGUAACAGAAUUCAUCAAUUAUAUAAUGACUUAGAUUUGUUAAAGAAUUUUGGAUUGUAAGAUUACAAUAAACUUUUUGAACAUUCUGCAAUAAUUUACUUAAGAGGAAGAAAAUUGCUCAUGUCGUCAAGAAAUCCUGGAUGUUUGACAAGAUCUGCAUUUAACAUAUCCAGUUUAGAUGGCAACUUAUAUAGAUUUCUGUAUAAUAUUGGAAUGAUCUUUUUUAGCAUUCCGCAAAUAAUAUACUAAGUAGAAUAUGAUAAUCUGGAAAAUCCGAUGUUUGAAAAGACUCCGGAUGCAGUUUAGAUUUGUCAGUGCCUCUCAGAAAUCUGCCCCUUGGCUUUACCUUAGGCUUAGAGAUGGCUUGCUGGAUUGGUCUAUUUUUAUCUAUUGAUUUUCAUUGUGAAUUUUUGUGUCCAAAGCUUGGUUUUGACUUUCUUGGUUUUGCAUCUGCAUCACCGCAUGAAGCUGCAGCCGGGGAAAACUUCAUUGACAGAGUUUUCAUUAUGGGUCUAUAGAGACUGCAUUUUGGAGAUCUCUUUUGUAUGUGGAUAGGAUUAUAUGUUAUUUUAAAGUUUCUUUUAUGCAAAAAAAAAAAGGAAAAAGAAAAAGAAAAAAAGAUGUUAAAUUUGUUGUAUGUUGUUGACGUAAAACAUAUCUUGCAUCUGAAAUAUUUUCAUUGUGUAAUUAUUUGAUUUGGUUUUUCAAAACUCAUUCAUUGUCGUAAUAAGAUUUUAGACACGAGAUAAUGGCUUGUUUCUCUUAUCAGUUAUAUGUAGAUCUUUAGUCCACCAUUAUCAGUUAUAACUACGUGAUUUAUAGGCUAAAAUGCAUAUGUUGUUUUUUAUUUUCUGUUCUUUAUUUGUAUACCUAGCAUUCAUGUUUGAGAAAAAAUUGAUUGGCAGGAGGUAUUUAUCCGAAUAAGAUGGUGGCUCAAAAUGCGUGGCUCAAAAUGCAUCUGCUGUUUAUUGGCUUUCUAUUCUUUAUUUAUAUAUCCAACAUUAAUGUUUGACAAAAAGUUGAAUGGCAAGAGGUAUUAUUCAAAUAUAAUGGUGGCUCAAACUUAGGAGUAGGGAAUAUGUUCUUGACGACUUUGUUUAUAUUUCAUGUUUUAUUAUUUCCUUACAAUUUUGCAAUGAAGUGUGGCAAAAACUACGGGUGCGUUACCUGUGAUUUAACAAGAUUGUCAUUAUACUAUUUACACAAAAUGUUAUUAAAUUCUAAUAUGAUUCCUUCUUGGCAGAUCUGAUUGAUAUUUGGAUAGCUGGAACUUGGAAGCUAAUGGAAGCUUAUGGAGUUUUGUCAUGAAUGCUUGAUACUUUGUUUUAUCCUUUCCAAUAUCUUUACCAGAAGUCAUUAGUUACUUCAACAGCCACUUGCUAUAGUAGAGAUAUCAAACUUUGUGAUGCUUUUUUUUUUUUUAAUUUUGACCACUAAUACAUAGUUCCACUAUAAUUGGCUGAUUGAACGCGACGGAAGAUAAGAAAGACGAGAGGCAUUUCUAGAAAUAGCAGUCAAUAUUUCUGGAUGAAUGUAUCUUAUAUCUUAAAUUGUAACUUUUCACAGGUAAUGAGGUGCAUCGUACAGUUG
rnacentral:lncRNA from 1 species